rnacentral:rRNA from 1 species
UACGGGGGGAGCAAGCGCUGUUCGGAUUUACUGGGCGUAAAGGGCGCGUAGGCGGCGCAACAAGUCACUUGUGAAAUCUCCGGGCUUAACUCGGAGCGGUCAAGUGAUACUGUCGUGCUAGAGUGCGGAAGGGGCUACUGGAAUUCUCGGUGUAGCGGUGAAAUGCGUAGAUAUCGAGAGGAACACCUGCGGCGAAGGCGGGUAGCUGGGCCGACACUGACGCUGAUGCGCGAAAGCGUGGGGAGCGAACAGG